AUUGAACGCUGGCGGCAGGCCUAACACAUGCAAGUCGAGCGGAGCGGCGGACGGGUGAGUAAUGCCUAGGAAUCUGCCUGGUAGUGGGGGAUAACGUCCGGAAACGGGCGCUAAUACCGCUUACUAUCAGAUGAGCCUAGGUCGGAUUAGCUAGUGGGUGGGGUAAAGGGCUACCAAGGCGACGAUCCGUAACUGGUCUGAGAUGAUGAUCAGUCACACUGGGACUGAGACACGGUCCAGACGCCUAAGGGUGGAAGCAGUGGGGAAGAUUGGACAAUGGGGGAAAACCUGAUCCAGCCAUGCCGCGUGUGUGAAGAAGGUCUUCGGAUUGUAAAGCACUUUAAGUUGGGAGGCGUUACCAACAGAAUAAGAACCGGCUAACUUCGUGCCAGCAGCCGCGGUAAUAC
rnacentral:rRNA from 1 species